CUCCAUUAUGACAGAAUGUGUCAGGUAUUAUUUAAGGUAAUCACCUAAAUUUGUAGGUUGCUUGCAAGAUUGUGUUUUCUCCUGAAACGGUUUAUUAUGUUGAAUCGGGACAACCAAAAGCCACCAUUGAGUUACACACUGCGACAGCUUUAAGCAUUGCGAGCCUGUUCCGACAUCAUGAGUCGCUCAGUAAGUGGCAGGAGAAAUUCAAGGACCAGUAACCAGCAACACUCCCACCACACUGAUGCCCAAAACUGAAACAAACGAGUAAUAAAAUCAGGGCGUUGUCUUCAUAAAUCAAGGAGAAAUGCUCUGAUCCAUGCACGGGUAUGAUUUGAUUGCUUGCAGUCAUUUUUAACAUGUUUACAGUUGGUACAGCCCUGAACUUUAACCCCACCUCCUUCCCUGAUGGAAAAAAAACAAAAAAAAAACUCUGAAAAGACCUCCGAAUGCUCGCUGCUGGCUCAUCAGAGAUAAGUAAACGUCGAAUAUGUGCAAAACUGUUUGAUGUAACAAGCCGAAUUUAAACAGGAGCUGAUGUAACUGCACGCCUGAUAUCCGCUGACCUGCGAUGAGAUACAAUCGGCCAUAUAACUUCGGUCAAACGGCUCAACAAAGGUUGCCAGUUGUAAUCCAAGCAGGCCAGGAAAUUUUGGGAUAACCCUGGAAACCAGUGGUAAAAUAAUAAAAGCAGCUGUGCAGGAAUCAGCUUUCCAGUUUUAGGAAUUUCAUGCAGAUUUUCAAUAUCCCUUUUAAAUCUGCUCUUCUCUCUACUCCCCAUUUUUGUUUUCCCUUUCAUACAUUCUUUUUAAUGUAACUGGGGAAAUUAAAUUCAGGAAUGCCUGUUGACUUUUCCAUUCUUCCAGCUCCACACACUAAGUUUAAAGAGGGGAAAGGAGACAGAAAACCUAAUGGUAACCCUGUUCAGAACACCAGCGUUUGAUUUGGUUAAUGUAAAGACAUGCCUUCCAAAGUGAUUAGACCAUUGGCAUUCAUUGUUGGACUUUGAAAAAUGAUAAAGUAUUUGACCUAAUUUUUAAGCCUUUUACUUGUACUGAUGUGGUCAAAUAGUGACAAGCAUCUGAGUCACUCAUAAUAAAGAUGCCCACAUUUAUAGAUUUUAUUGAUCCAUUUAUAUCAUCUUUCAGAUCUACCCCAGCUGCCAUACCUGUGGCAUCAAGCUCCAAGAGACAAAAUGUCUUCAUAUGCACUAGUUAAUUAAACUCAGUUAGCAAUACCAUCACUGGAUUCAAGACCAUAGGCAACACCCAUACAUGUAUACAAAUGAGUUAAGAGUAGGCCAUUGGGACCCUCCAACCUUUAAGACAAUGGCUAAUCUGAAUGUAACCUCAACUCUGCAUGCCCACCAAUAGCCUUUCAUACCCUUACUUACCAAAGAUCUAUCCACCUUUGCCUGAAAACCACACAGAGGUGCUACUUCUCCUAUCUUUUGAGGAAGAGACUUCCACAAAUUCACAAACCUCUGAGAGAAACAAGGUUUCUUCUUAUUUCUGUUUUAAAUGAACAACCCAUUAUUUUUAAACCCCUUGUUUUUAUUUUGACACCUAGUUCUCACUUCUUCCACAAAACAAAGUACGCUUUCUACAUUGAAGCAAAACACAGUCAAUCAAGUUAUCUCUUAUUCUUCUAAACUCCAGCAGAUGGAACUCAGUCUUAUCUGUUUUCAUGACAUAAUACAUCCAUACCAGAUAUUAGUAUCAUAAACUUUCUUUGAAAUGCCUCCAAUGCCUUUAUAUUUUUCCUUCCAUAAAAAGACUAAUACUGUUCACAGUACUCCAGAAUUUUUUUUUUUCAAA